rnacentral:rRNA from 1 species
AUUGAACGCUGGCGGCAGGCCUAACACAUGCAAGUCGAACGGUAGCACAGAGGAGCUUGCUCCUUGGGUGACGAUUGGCGGACGGGUGAGUAAUGCCUGGGAAACUGCCCGAUGGUUAGGGGGAUAACUACUGGAAACGGUAGCUAAUACCGCAUAACGUCUUCGAAAGUGGGGGACCUUCGGGCCUCACACCAUCGGAUGUGCCCAGGUGGGAUUAGCUAGUAGGUGGGGUAAUGGCUCACCUAGGCGACGAUCCCUAGCUGGUCUGAGAGGAUGACCAGCCACACUGGAACUGAGACACGGUCCAGACUCCUACAGGCAGUUCAGUGGGGAAUAUUGCACAAUGGGCGCAAGCCUGAUGCAGCCAUGCCGCGUGUAUGAAGAAGGCCUUCGGGUUGUCCAAAGUACUUUCAGUGGGGAGGAAGGCGAUGGAGUUAAUAGCUCCGUCGAUUGACGUUACAAGAAGCACCGGCUAACUCCGUGCCAGCAGCGGUAAUACGGAGGGUGCAAGCGUUAAUCGGAAUUACUGGGCGUAAAUUUGGGCGCACGCAGGCGGUCUGUCAAGUCGGAUGUGAAAUCCGGGCUCAACCUGGGAACUGCAUUCAACUGGCAGACUAGAGUCUUGUAGAGGGGGGUAGAAAAAAUUCCAGGUGUAGCGGUACCCAAUGCGUANAGAUCUGGAGGUACCGGUGGCGAANGCGGGCCCCUGGACAAAGACUGACGNUCAGGUGCGAAAGCGUGGGGAGCAAACAGGAUUAGAUACCCCUGGUAGUCCACGCCGUAAACGAUGUCGACUUGGAGGUUGUGCCCUUGAGGCGGCUUCCGGAGCUAACGCGUUAAGUCGACCGCCUGGGGAGUACGGCCGCAAGGUAACUCAAAUGAAUUGACGGGGGCCCGCACAAGCGGUGGAGCAUGUGGUUUAAUUCGAUGCAACGCGAAGAACCUUACCUGGCCUUGACAUCCACGGAAUUCGGCAGAGAUGCCUUAGUGCCUUCGGGAACCGUGAGACAGGUGCUGCAUGGCU